AUAUAUAUAUAAUAUCUAAUCGUUCAUAGAAUUGUUAAUAGAAAAUGAGAAAUGAAAACAGAAAAUAAUAUUCGUAUUAUUAUAAUUAUUAUUCUCUAAGUGUGUAUAUUUCUCCUACUGAUGAUCUCAUGUAAUUUAACUUUUUGCAUUGUUUUAUAGAAAACGAGCAUUCGAGAGAUUUCGCCGAGAGACUUCCUGAAUCGUGAUUCACUUCCGGGCCGAGGUUAAUAUUAAACAUAGAAAUUUUAAGAGGUCAAUGACCGAAGAAAAGAAUGGCAGGGAUUCUAAUACCAAAACGUAUAAGGAAAAUUAUUUUAAGAAUUCCUCGAUCAGAUGUUACCCUGUGAGAAAAGCGUGGGUGGAAUCCCAACGAGGUUUUGUGCGUGAAGAAUAUACAAGUUAUGCUAAAGAAUACACAAGUGGAACAGUAUAAAUUGCAGAUA